GCUUGGGAACAUGCCUUGAGGUGGGGGACAACAGUUGGAAACGACUGCUAAUACCGCAUAAUGUCUACGGACCAAAGGGGGCUUCGGCUCUCGCCUUUAGAUUGGCCCAAGUGGGAUUAGCUAGUUGGUGAGGUAAUGGCUCACCAAGGCAACGAUCCCUAGCUGGUUUGAGAGGAUGAUCAGCCACACUGGGACUGAGACACGGCCCAGACUCCUACGGGAGGCAGCAGUGGGGAAUAUUGCACAAUGGGCGCAAGCCUGAUGCAGCCAUGCCGCGUGUGUGAAGAAGGCCUUCGGGUUGUAAAGCACUUUCAGUCAGGAGGAAAGGUUAGUAGUUAAUACCUGCUAGCUGUGACGUUACUGACAGAAGAAGCACCGGCUAACUCCGUGCCAGCAGCCGCGGUAAUACGGAGGGUGCGAGCGUUAAUCGGAAUUACUGGGCGUAAAGCGUACGCAGGCGGUUUGUUAAGCGAGAUGUGAAAGCCCCGGGCUCAACCUGGGAACUGCAUUUCGAACUGGCAAACUAGAGUGUGAUAGAGGGUGGGUAGAAUUUC
rnacentral:rRNA from 1 species